CCGGGUAGGUAGGGGCCCCGCUACGUGGCCCGCCAAUGUGUUGUCAAUUGCUUGCAGAAACGAAUGCACAAAAGAAUUGCACGCAGAGAGGAGCGGAGAGACGCUUCCGGUGCGAGCACAAGCAUCGACUAGAGUGGCUGCGAUCGGCUUCGGCAGCUGCGACGCAGACGGACUCGGUGGACUUUCGGAGUAAAUCCGGGGUGAUGUAAACUUGGCAGCAGGUGGGCCCCGUGAUGAAGCUCCGCCCCCAGUGUGCUGAGAGUCUAGCUCCGCCCCCGCAUGACAUGAAGUAGAUUUAGAACAUUUUGUCUGUUUCGUUGUUAAACUUUUUAUUUUUGAGUUCCACUUUACUGCCCUCUUUUUCAGUGAGCGAUAUCGUAAUUUAGAAUUGAGACUCAUGUUUGAUGACGUCAGUUUCAUCAUGUCUCGUCUUUGUCGCGCGAACAAAACUUUGUUGAUGAACACACUUUGUCAGAAUCAUCUGUGACAAAUCUGAUGACUUGUCUCUGACCUCCUGUCGGCGUGAAGCUCAGUCCGCUGCAGCCGAGUCUCUCUGGGUAAACAACCAGAAUGUAAA